GUGGGGAAUAUUGGACAAUGGGGGGAACCCUGAUCCAGCCAUGCCGCGUGUGUGAAGAAGGCCUUUUGGUUGUAAAGCACUUUAAGCGAGGAGGAGGCUACCGAGAUUAAUACUCUUGGAUAGUGGACGUUACUCGCAGAAUAAGCACCGGCUAACUCUGUGCCAGCAGCCGCGGUAAUACAGAGGGUGCAAGCGUUAAUCGGAUUUACUUGGCGUAAAGCGCGCGUAGGUGGCCAAUUAAGUCAAAUGUGAAAUCCCCGAGCUUAACUUGGGAAUUGCAUUCGAUACUGGUUGGCUAGAGUAUGGGAGAGGAUGGUAGAAUUCCAGGUGUAGCGGUGAAAUGCGUAGAGAUCUGGAGGAAUACCGAUGGCGAAGGCAGCCAUCUGGCCUAAUACUGACACUGAGGUGCGAAAGCAUGGGGAGCAAACAGGAUUAGAAACCCCUGUAGUCC
rnacentral:rRNA from 1 species